rnacentral:rRNA from 1 species
AAUGAACGCUGGCGGCAUGCUUUACACAUGCAAGUCGAACGGCAGCGCGGGCUUCUUGCUGGCCGCGAGUGGCGAACGGGCGAGUAAUUCACACGUAGGUGCCCAGCAUAUGGGGAUAGGACGACUAAAGCCGGAUUAAUACCACAUAGGAUCAGAUGUUGAAACCGGUGGAUCGAAAGUGCUCGAGCGAUUUGAUCUGCCGGUGACGGAUUAGCUAGUUGGUGGGGUAAAGGCGUACCAAGGCGACGAUCCGUAGCUGGCCUGAGAGGACGACCGGCCACACUGGAACUGAGACACGGUCCAGACUCCUACGGGAGGCAGCAGUGGGGAAUCUUGGGCAAUGGGGGAAAGCCUGAUCCAGCAACGCCGCGUGCGUGAAGAAGGCCUUCGGGUCGUAAAACGCUUUUGUUAGGGAAGAAAACCUCUGUGCUUAUACACCGAGGGGAUAACGGUACCGGAAGAAUAAGCACCGGCUAACUACGUG